rnacentral:rRNA from 1 species
CAGCCGCCGCGGUAAUACGUAGGGUGCGAGCGUUGUCCGGAAUUAUUGGGCGUAAAGAGCUUGUAGGCGGUCUGUCGCGUCUGCUGUGAAAACCCGAGGCUCAACCUCGGGCCUGCAGUGGGUACGGGCAGACUAGAGUGCGGUAGGGGAGAACGGAACUCCUGGUGUAGCGGUGGAAUGCGCAGAUAUCAGGAAGAACACCGAUGGCGAAGGCAGUUCUCUGGGCCGUAACUGACGCUGAGAAGCGAAAGCGUGGGGAGCGAACAGGAUUAGAGACCCGUGUAGUCCCUGUCUCUUAUAC